rnacentral:rRNA from 1 species
GACGAACGCUGGCGGCGUGCCUAAUACAUGCAAGUCGAGCGAAGUUUUUCUGGUGCUUGCACUAGAAAAACUUAGCGGCGAACGGGUGAGUAACACGUAAAGAACCUGCCUCAUAGACUGGGACAACUAUUGGAAACGAUAGCUAAUACCGGAUAACAGUAUUUCUCGCAUGAGAGAUAUUUAAAAGUUGGUUAUGCUAACACUAUGAGAUGGCUUUGCGGUGCAUUAGCUAGUUGGUGGGGUAAAGGCCCACCAAGGCGACGAUGCAUAGCCGACCUGAGAGGGUGAUCGGCCACACUGGGACUGAGACACGGCCCAGACUCCUACGGGAGGCAGCAGUAGGGAAUCUUCCGCAAUGGGCGAAAGCCUGACGGAGCAACGCCGCGUGAGUGGAGAAGGAUUUCGGUUCGUAAAGCUCUGUUGUUAGGGAAGAAUGGAUAUGUAGUAACUAUACAUGUAAGAGACGGUACCUAACCAGAAAGCCACGGCUAACUACGUG